GACGAACGCUGGCGGCGCGCCUAACACAUGCAAGUCGAGCGAUGAAAUUUUAACCGAUCUCUUCGGAGAGAAGAUAAACUGGAUUAGCGGCGGACGGGUGAGUAACACGUGAGCAACCUGCCUUUCACAAGGGGAUAGCCUCGGGAAACCGGGAUUAAUACCCUAUGACACAUUUCCUUCGCAUGGAAGAAAUGUUAAAACUCCGGUGGUUAAAGAUGGUCUCGCGCCUGAUUAGCUAGUUGGUGGGGUAACGGCCCACCAAGGCCAUGAUCAGUAACCGGCAUGAGAGGGUGAACGGUCACAUUGGAACUGAGACACGGUCCAAACUCCUACGGGAGGCAGCAGUGGGGAAUAUUGCACAAUGGAGGAAACUCUGAUGCAGCGGCGCCGCGUGAGAGAUGAAGGCUUUCGAGUCGUAAAGCUCUGUCCUAUGGGAAGAUAAUGACGGUACCAGAGGAGGAAGCCCCGGCUAACUACGUG
rnacentral:rRNA from 1 species